rnacentral:rRNA from 1 species
UACGGGGGGGGCAAGCGUUGUUCGGAAUUACUGGGCGUAAAGGGCUCGUAGGCGGCCAACUAAGUCAGACGUGAAAUCCCUCGGCUUAACCGGGGAACUGCGUCUGAUACUGGAUGGCUUGAGGUUGGGAGAGGGAUGCGGAAUUCCAGGUGUAGCGGUGAAAUGCGUAGAUAUCUGGAGGAACACCGAUGGCGAAGGCAAUCCCCUGGACCUGUACUGACGCUCAUGCACGAAAGCGUGGGGAGCAAACAGG